CUACAAUAGGAAUGAUGACGGGGUAUGAAAAUUAAAAAUCUAUUUAGUCCGUCAGUUAGGUAAUGAAAAAAUAUUAGACACGUAUUUUUUUAUUUUGUCAUAUAAGAUAACAAUACUUAAAUAAAACGAAUCAAAGUUUAGUUGAGGUAUAAAACGUACCUAGAAGUGACAUCACGCGAUAUUUCAAAUCGAUAUAUCUUCUAAAGUAUUUGUUUCCGUAAGAAAAUAAAAAAUACGUGUCUAUAAAAUAUUUUAAAAUAAUCUACAAGACGGACAUUAAAAUAAAAAUUAGUCAUCAUCAUUAAAUACAUUACGUACGAUACACAACCAUAUUUUAGGAUAUUUUAAACAAAAACAAAAGAAACCGUCACGCCUUAUAAUCGUAGUCUGUGACCUCAGUAUGAGUUUGCUUAAUUUUAAAGUAAUCGAAACGAGAGCGCGUUCGUCGCUCCGAUUGGGUGGUUUAUUCAAGUUGGCCAAUCAGAGCACCGAACGCGCUUUCAUUUCGAUUACUUUAAACGUAAAGUAAACUCGUAUUAAAGCCUCGUAUUCAUGGUAAACAUUUUGUUUAGCAACAUGGUUGCAUAAACAUGUUGCGGGCAACACUUGUGUUGCGGAGUUGAUCGCGCCAUGCUGCAGAGUUGACGCCCGGCGAGCGAAAACAUCAGUUUAUAUUA